UGUAACGCGUGGAUAACCUGCCCUUUAGACCGGGAUAACGCCGGGAAACCGGUGCUAAUACCGGGUACGUUCAGCUGGCUGCAUGGGCAGCUGAGGAAAGGAGCAAUCCGCUAAAGGAUGGGUCCGCGUCCCAUUAGCUUGUUGGUAGGGUAACGGCCUACCAAGGCGACGAUGGGUAGCCGGCCUGAGAGUGCGACCGGCCACACUGGAACUGAGACACGGUCCAGACUCCUACGGGAGGCAGCAGUGGGGAAUCUUCCGCAAUGGGCGCAAGCCUGACGGAGCAACGCCGCGUGAGUGACGAAGGUCUUCGGAUUGUAAAACUCUGUCCAGAGGGAAGAAGGAAGUGACGGUACCUCUGGAGGAAGCCCCGGCUAACUACGUGCCAGCAGCCGCGGUAAAACGUAGGGGGCGAGCGUUGUCCGGAAUUACUGGGCGUAAAGGGCGUGUAGGCGGCUUGGUAAGUCAGUCGUGAAACCUACCGGCUCAACCGGUAGCUGGCGAUUGAAACUGCCGGGCUUGAGUGCAGUAGAGGGGAGUGGAAUUCCCAGUGUAGCGGUGAAAUGCGUAGAUAUUGGGAGGAACACCAGUGGCGAAAGCGGCUCCCUGGCCUGUAACUGACGCUGAGGCGCGAAAGCGUGGGUAGCAAACAGGAUUAGAUACCCUGGUAGUCCACGCCGUAAACGAUGGGUGCUAGGUGUUGGGGGUAUCGACCCCUCCAGUGCCGCAGUUAACGCAAUAAGCACCCCGCCUGGGGAGUACGGGCCGCAAGGCUGAAACUCAAGGAAUUGACGGGGGCCCGCACAAGCGGUGGAGUAUGUGGUUUAAUUCGACGCAACGCGAAGAACCUUACCAGGUCUUGAC
rnacentral:rRNA from 1 species